rnacentral:rRNA from 1 species
UACGUAGGGCGCGAGCGUUAUCCGGAAUUAUUGGGCGUAAAGAGCUCGUAGGCGGUUUGUCACGUCUGCUGUGAAAACUGGAGGCUCAACCUCCAGCCUGCAGUGGGUACGGGCAGACUAGAGUGCGGUAGGGGAGAUCGGAAUUCCUGGUGUAGCGGUGGAAUGCGCAGAUAUCAGGAGGAACACCGAUGGCGAAGGCAGAUCUCUGGGCCGUAACUGACGCUGAGGAGCGAAAGCAUGGGGAGCGAACAGG